GACGGGGCCCGCACAAGCGGUGGAGCAUGUGGUUUAAUCGAAGCAACGCGAAGAACCUUACCAGGUCUUGACAUCCCCUGACAACCCGAGAGAUCGGGCGUUCCCCUUCGGGGGACAGGGUGACAGGUGGUGCAUGGUUGUCGUCAGCUCGUGUCGUGAGAUGUUGGGUUAAGUCCCGCAACGAGCGCAACCCUCGACCUUAGUUGCCAGCAUUCAGUUGGGCACUCUAAGGUGACUGCCGGCUAAAAGUCGGAGGAAGGUGGGGAUGACGUCAAAUCAUCAUGCCCCUUAUGACCUGGGCUACACACGUGCUACAAUGGGCGGUACAAAGGGUCGCGAACCCGCGAGGGGGAGCCAAUCCCAAAAAGCCGCUCUCAGUUCGGAUUGCAGGCUGCAACUCGCCUGCAUGAAGCCGGAAUCGCUAGUAAUCGCGGAUCAGCAUGCCGCGGUGAAUACGUUCCCGGGCCUU
rnacentral:rRNA from 1 species